AGAGUUUGAUCCUGGCUCAGAACGAACGCUGGCGGCAGGCUUAACACAUGCAAGUCGAACGGUUGUAGCAAUACAGCAGUGGCAGACGGGUGAGUAACACGUGGGAACCUUCCUAGGGGUACGGAACAACUCAGAGGAAACUUGAGCUAAUACCGUAUACGUCCGUGAGGAGAAAGUUUUAACGCCCCUAGACGGGCCCGCGUAGGAUUAGGUAGUUCGGUGAGGUAACGGCUCACCAAGCCUACGAUCCUUAGCUGAUCUGAGAGGAUGAUCAGCCACACUGGGACUGAGACACGGCGCCAGACUCCUACGGGAGGCAGCAGUGGGGAAUCUUGGACAAUGGGCGCAAGCCUGAUCCAGCCAUGCCGCGUGAGUGAGAGAAGGCCUUCGGGUUGUAGAGCUCUUUUACCAGGGACGAUAAUGACGGUACCUGGAGAAUAAGCCCCGGCAAACUUCGUGCCAGCAGCCGCGGUAAUACGAAUGGGGCUAGCGUUGUUCGGAAUUACUGGGCGUAAAGCGCACGUAGGCGGAUUGUUAAGUCGGAGGUGAAAUCCCGGAGCUCAACUUCUGAACUGCCUUUGAUACUGGCAAUCUCGAGUUCUGAGGANGUUAGUGGANUCCCCAGUGUAUAGGUGACAUUCGUAGAUUUUGGGAANAACCCCAAUGGUAAAAGCUGCUUACUGUUCCGGUACUGACCCUGAUGGUGCAAAACCUUGGGGAUNCCAACCGGANGUGAAUAACCUUGGUAAUU
rnacentral:rRNA from 1 species